CUCCGCCGCCAACCAGCCCUUCGCACGCCCGAUCCACACCUUCGCCCCCGUCGCGGCCGAUCCAUCCCUGUGCCGCGGCCGAUCCUAACCUUCGCCGCAGCCCUCGUACAUCAAAGCCGCCACCCGUCCAUCAUACGAUCUGCUUCAGGAUCGCUGCAGGAGACGGCGCCAUGAUCCCGUUUAGCAGACGCCGGCGAUCCUGUAUAUCACCAUGCGAUCGAAUUCCUCCCUCAGCUCCUUUUGUCUACACUCUGUCAGGCUGCAACAGCCUAGGUUUCUAUUUUCUAUCUGGGCUCCACUGGCAGUAGUAGGAUGCUCAUUGGCAACCCAAGGUGUGUAUGCCCCUACUUCCCCAAGAUGUGUGCUGUUGUGAAGCAUGUAGCACCACUUCUCCUGACUACUAUAAUCAGUGGAAGAUCUCAUGACAUGAUAGGCGUCAUGGUCUCAUGGAAUGGACAUCAUGGGGCUUAUUAGGAACUCUGAGUUCAGCGGGCACCAUGCCGAAAGGUGAAGCAACUUUUGGUAUUUUGUUAUGGCACGAUUUGUUCUUCUGUUUCCUAAACUUGAUCGCUCACUUGCUUUCUUUCACAUGGUAAAGAGGUCAAUCUCUUCCAAUACACAAUCGUUGAGGUGUGUAUCAAUGUCUAAAGGUUAAAAAAGACCCAGGUUACACCAUAUGGUUUAGGUUGCUCACCUUGGUGGCUGACUAGGCGUUCAAAAAUCUUAGUGAGAGUAUAAAGGACAUUGUUGAUGGUGCAAUAAUGGAACACAACAAGUUGUGUGUGUGUGUCGCACGACCUGGGAGUCUACAUCUAAGAGUUCCUUUCAGUUUUCUAUCAGAAACAUUUCUUUAUAAAAGUUCUGUUGGACACUUAUCUUCUCUUUACUUAUCGUUUCGUGGGACUAUGAAAAAGUUCAUCUGUGUGUAACUACAGGGUUCUCGAAGUCCGCCCUCUCAUUGACAGGGUGAAAGUUGUGGAAUUCUUGCUUUAACUGCCUGGAGUAAGAUGAUAGGACAUACAAAGAUGCAUUCAAGGUAAGCUCCAGUGAAAUUAGGUGUUCAUAAGACAAUUCUUUCAAGUUGCGACCUACAUUGUGGUGUCUCCAUUCAUCAAGUUCUGAGCACCAGCUCUAGUGAAAUUAGGUGUUCAUCCAGCCAUACUCCUAGGUAGAUUUCUUUGGUGUGCUUAUUAUUGUGUAGUUAGUGGUUAUGCACAUGCCUCAUCAUCUGAUAUUUCUGCAGUAGUUACUGAAAGCAAUCUGAGGACAAAGCUUUGAUUGUUGUUGUAGUUGAAGAUUGAGAGUUGCAAUGCAGGCACAGUUAACAGGCAUAAGAAACUAUAGAAGAUUUAUCAAACCAGAUAUGGGCUUGGUUAUGCACUGAAUCAUUAUGGAGGAUCUCAGGUAAUUAGGCCAUACACCCAAAAUUAAAUUUUACUUGCUUUUAGAUGUUUAGGGGGAAGAUGAUGUUUCAUAUGCUAGACUUAAGUACGCACCUUUUAAGAGUAUCACUGAUACUCCAGUCACCCAUAAAAAUGGAAGUACUAAAAAUUAGUUUGUAAGGAAAAUAACUAAAUAGUGAGUCUGAGCAAACCUACUACCUAGAUUACAUGAGAUCAUUUUAGCUCUAAGAGUUUCUUUUAUCUUUUUUUACAUUCUGGUAAACAUGUGGGUGAAUAACUGUUAGAAAUUGUUCUGUAUGUACACGUGCAUUCUACUAGAACUGAUGCUUGAAAGAAUAAAAAGUUCUAUAAUAUUUGUAAGCCAAGCAGUGGAAAAGCUCACUCCUCACAGUAGAUAACUAGAAUCUAUGUAUCUCCUUUGUUGAAACAGAGUCCACAGGUUUACUCAUGUCAUCUGUUUUUUGUUGUUUGAGGGAAGGAUUGUUAGGAGCCCAUCUCUUUUGCAGCAAGCCCUGCAGAAAGAGAGCUAGAUAUAAUGGUACUUGCUAUCCUUUUAAUGGACACUUCCUUUUGGCCUUUUUUAGUUUCUCUAAUUAGGUAAGAGACUUCAAUGAGUGAGAAUUUUUUGUUCCCUCCCUUUUUCAUUGUCUUUUGAGUUUUGCUUUGUGGUGAGAAGAGGAUAGAGAUACCCAAUAGCCGUGGGGAUCAGAGAUUAGGUGAGGUCACAUUGUUUGUCUCGGCUUUACAAUGUGAGGUAAAGGAAGAAAAUAAAGUAAUGUUAGAAUAUUACAAUCAUAUAUCUAGACAUAUCUCUACUCCUAAUGGAGCAGCUGGAAAAUAAAAGCCAAGAGAAGUAUGAAUCCGAACAUGAUCCCCUCUGUCCUCCUCCCACGACGCGCGUCAGGGGAGAAACCCUAGCGCCGCCGCUGCCGGGACCCCCUCCUCCUCCCCUUCUCCCCUUCCCUGCCGCCGCCUGCGAGCAAGGCCGGGCGAAGCCCGGUCGGCUCCAGCGAUGUGUGUGUGGAGGGGGUCUUCCCUUCACCGUGUGGCCGCGUGUGGCGCAGGAUGGCAUGGCCGGCGAAGGCGCGUGCGAGCAGGGGGCACGGCAGCGUGGCAUCUGAGUGUGGGGCGGCGACGCCUGGUCAGGUGCUCGUGCGGGUGGCUCUACGGCGAGGGGUGGCUGCGAUGUUGCCAACGGCUGCGUUUGUGCGCGCCCAGAUCUGGCAGCGGCUGUGCCCGUGGGUUGCGCUAGCUUAGCUGUUUCCUAUGUGGCUCGGCACGCGCGGGAGCUCGGCAGGCGGCGGCUUGGGUCGCCGUUACACCUCGCCGUCCGGCUGUGUGGUCACUGGUGGUGGAUAGCGGCCGCUGGUGAGAUUCAUCUUGUCCAGCCACGGUGCAGGUCUGAGUGCGGCUCCAAUCCAGCCCCUGUUGAGCUUGCACAUGUCGCGACAUAGGGCUGGACUUUUCCCAAUGAUGGCCAUAGUUGAGGGAUGGAUCCGACGCCGGGAGGGCCACGGAACCAUCCUUGCCUCCUAUUAGGUGGCACACCGGGGAGCUCGUCCUUGCACGGCCUGGCAGGACGGGGCGGUGGCGACCGAGUGCGGCCGGCCCGGGGGUGGGCUCGGACCUGGGGACCGUCGAAGGGCAGGGAAGAAGGUGCCUUCCCGCUCGUCUCUUUGCCUGUCAUGGCUGCAAGCUUCGGUAGGGGAUGGUGUCGGGACCAUGGGUGUUGGGGCGGCGGCCCUGGAGGUGGGAGGCGUGGGCUCAUGGGCGAAGCUCACGGCUCGGGUGUGAGCUAGCUGUCGUGACCAUGCGGGGGGUGUGGUGCUCAGGGUGCGACAACCGGAGGGGUAGGUCUGGCGGGCCUAGUUUGUUGUGCCUCGCCUCAGGGGCUGUGAGGACUUCCCGGGUUGAAAACCUGCUUUGGCUCUGCCAAGCCGCAGACGACAUCACCUAUGGGUGGCGCCUCCUUCUUGAAGGCUUCGUCGCGGCUCCUCUACAUGCUCCGAUUGCUCCGAAGGAAACCUUGAUCUUGGGAUCGGGCGGUGGCGAUACUCCUGUGUCGUGCCCUUCUUGAAGGCACCGCCUUGGAGUGUUCGGCUUGUCGUGCACAACUCUCUCUCUCUCUCUCUCUCUCUCUCUCUCUCUCUUCACAGUGACUCGCUCACGGUUGAGGUCUCCGGAGACUACAAGUGGUGCUAUCCCUGCCUACAUGUAGUUGCUUGGAGUGGAGGGGGUGAUCUAGCAGUUCAUAUACACCCUUGUAUCUUGCCUUGUGUGUGUUGUGGGGUGAGUUGUAUGUGUUGGUUUGUAUGGUGAUUGUUGCUUUAUAUAUAAAGCGGGGCACGCGCCUUUUUCGGUAAUGGAGCAUUUGGUUGUCUCCGUUUCGGGUUUUCUUUCAUCCCACCUCCCACCUUUGUCUGGUUUUUUGUGGUUACUAUGUAAUACAAGUGGAUUUUCUUCACACAUAAGCCAUGAAAUAUUUAAGCCUGAGAUGAUCACCUUCUCGGGAUGCUACUUUGGGGGUGGCAAAUUGAGUUAAUUGAACUAGGUGAAAUAUGCAAGAGCUAGAAAACACUAAUGUAAGAGAUCAAUACUCAUUCGGGUUUUGACAAUUACACUGUUACAGUUAAAUUUGCUAGCAAGAAAGUUACACUGAUAGAGAACGGCGGCAUUGUAAAUACCAUCUUAACAACUGAAGAAGCAGGCUUCAUGAUCUGGGCAUUGGGGUCAGGACGCCCAUAUCUUGCGUCGGAAGAUGUAUAUGGAGCAUUAGAGACAUUAGCGCCUGUGUUAGACAUUAGCUCCGAGGCGAUUGUUUAGUUCUAAGACAUUAGUCAUACAUAAUGUUACAUUCAGAUAAAUAUUUUACUUUUCCCAGGGAUAGAAUUAUGAAACCUUUAGUCUUGGGAUCAAAGUAGAUAUUGCCUUAAUAUCUAAGCCAUUUACGGACAUGACCGUGAAUAUGUUCAGUGUAACAUGUAUAGCAUAAUAAAGUUGGAGAAGAUUAAGGAAUGGGGCAUUUUAGUUAAUCAUGCGGGCCUAGGGUUUUCUAAAAGAGAGCAAUGUCAGAGAAUCCAUCAGUUAAAGUUUGUCUUCGAUCCAAACACGUAGUCAGAUUUUCAUGCCAUGGGCUCGGUAAAUCGAGAAUGAUAGACGCCUUCGACUUUCCAGCCAUGGACUCACUAGAUCAAUAGAGAGAGGAAGAGAGCAGUCAGGGGGUGGCGGCAGCUCAGGAGCACGAGCGCGGUGGUGGCCAUGGAGAAUGAGCGAGCAUGGAACGGGGACCAGAGGCAGGAUGCGAGAGCUAUAGCGUCAUCUGUGGUGCGACACCAUGCGGCAAUCGUCCGAGGUGUUGUGGAGGCGGAGCGAGGCCGUUCGGAGUGAAGAUGAGCAGCGUAGGAUGGCAAGUUGGGUGGCUGCGACUGUGGGGUGCUGCAGAUGGAGGCGUUGGGACGGGCUAGCGACAGGAAGGGGAUGGGGUCGAGAGCGGCUGCGGUGCAUGCAUGCGUCCCCACCAUUGUUUUGUGACCAGGCCCACGUAAAAUUUAGCCAGCAAAAUGAUCCAUGGUGUAAGGUGCCUGAAUCCAUCUAUCUGUGGUUAAUUUUAUUUAUGAACAUGUUCGUGUCUUCUUGAAUUGUAGCCUUUUUGGCUGAGGCCAUGCAUGGAGAAGCUGGUCUCCAGAUGCAUCUGUCAGCCAUGGGUUACAAACUGAAUUAACAACAAGUAUGGUGAUAGCGAGUGUUGUCGUUAUCUCCAAAGAAUAACAACUAUGCAAUAUAGUGCUGAACUUUGACAUUUUGCGUUUUGGUUAUAAGUUCCUUUUAAUAUUUGGUGAUUUACUAAUUAAUCUUUCUUUACCAGCUUGUGUUGUCAAAUUAUGGUUUCACUGUGGGAAAUUUAUUUGAAGGUCUCCAUGAUGGCAUAACUCUAUGUAGACUGACGUGUCGAUUAUUUUGGCAUGCAUUUUUGGCACAUCAUUAUCCAGAUACUUUUUCCAUUACUAUGACAUCAAACUUUAUUUCAUAAGUUGUGUACUAUUAGAUUGCACCUUUUGUUUAUAUCAAGAUCUGAAGUAAUUGACUUUAUGUUCAGUUUUGUUUUUUCACUCACUUCAUAGGAAGCAUUACAAUGGGAUAUAUUGUUCAGGAGUAGAGAUACUUUGAGCCCACCGUCACCAAUAUUCACCUCGUCUGCCCAAGUCCACCUUUCGCCAUGAAGGGCCACUCCUCUACGGUAGCAGGGAUGACCAGGACGCGGUGACGCCCAUGGACUGACACUUGUCACACUCCACAAACGAUCCUACCUACAGAGCGGUGGCGCGGGUGGGCACCGGCAAUGAAGAGGGCAUGCUGCAUAUCGACGCUCUUCUUUUGACUACAUGUUCAACCUCGGCCGACAGUGUCAUAAACCGCGUCUUCAACCUCCGUCGUGACCCUUCCUCUCAGACGACAAGCUUGCCACCUUCUCGCUGCUAGACAAAAGUUCACCAGAGAAAAAUGAUCCCAUCACCGGGAUCAACACCGCAGGGUCGUUGACUUGGUUGAUCUCUUCGAUGUAACUGAAAUUGGUGGGUCCAUGUGGUUGGAGAGCACGUUUCUCUGGGAUCUUGAUGCUAUCGUGCUCAUUGUACACGCUCGCGUGAGGGUGCUUGACUCCUUGGAGCAGGCCGGCAACCACCGCCUGUUGGACAAAUUUCAGAAACUUUGUACGAAGCUGGUGCACAUAGGUUCUGGGUUUGUACGAAGCUGGUGCACAUAGCCUUUGUUCAGGUAAAUCAGACAGGCAUGCGGACUAUAGGUAGCCUCUCUUUUUGCCCAUCUUUGCUAUUGUUAAUAAGUCUAACAAUGAACUGACUACAUUUACAUCUUUUCACCUUUGUUACCACAAAGCUACUCAAAGGUUCAGAAAUAAUACGUCGGCACUUUAAGUUUCCCAUUUCGAAUGCCAUGAUUUGCAAUUUGUGAUUUGGGAUGCGGUAGUAAGCUCUUUCUCGUGCAGUUAUGUUGUUGUGAGGUGCUACAGUCUCCUCUGAUUGUUCAAGCAAAGGUUCUCGAAAACAGCAUAGCCAUGUAUGUUGCUUCUAUUAGGUGAGGAUGACAAAGACUGCAUGUGUGCGCACGUGGGGGUUUGUGGAUUCGGGCACGCUAAACUCCCUUACAAUCCAGACAAAUCAUACAUUCAAACCAUCUCGAUGUUCUUCGCUAGCUUCGUCGCGUCGAUCCUGUAUAUAUACUAUUGGAUCCUGAAGCCCCAAGUCAUCAUCUGUUCCCGUGAUUCAUUAGCAAAUACAGAAAAACAUGGUUGUUUAUAUUAUAUGUAUGUUGUUGGGUAGGAGUUUUUCUCACUAGAUGUGAACAUUAGGAAGGAUAUAUCUUGUAGCAGAUCAGAUUCAAGAUCAUGUCAUGAUUUCUUAAGGGCC